rnacentral:rRNA from 1 species
AAUUUGUUCGAACGGUGGAACAUGUGGUUUAAUGCGAUAAUCCACGAAAAACCUUACCAAUAUUUAUAGUUAAGAUUAAAUAAAAUAUUAAUUUAUUAUUAGAUAUUCUUAACUUCGGUACUGCAUGGCUGUCGUCAGUUCGUGUUGUGAAAUGUAAAAUUAAGUUUUAUUUACGAACGCAACCUAGUACAUAUUAAUACUAAUUUUAAUUAAUUAAGUGUUUAAAUGUGUAUAAUAAAUUAAUAGGUUUUAGCUGAAGUCAAGUCCUUAUGGUCUAUAUAUAUUGGGCUACACACGUGUUACAAAGGUAAUAACAAAAAGUAACAAAUACGUAAGUAAAAGUAAAUCUUAAAAAAUUAUCUUAGUUCGGAUUAUUUUAUGUAACUCUAAAAUAUGAAGUUGAAAUCGUUAGUAAUUAUAAGUAAUUAUAUUAUAAUGAAUUAAAAGUCAAAUUUUGCACACACUGCCCAUCACGCUCGAAAAAUUUUAUAAAAUAGAAAAUAAAAUAAAUUAAAAUUUAAUUUUUAAGUUUUUAGCUUUAUUUGUUGUAGUUUUAUAAAGUAAUUU